rnacentral:rRNA from 1 species
GACGGAGGAUGCAAGCGUUAUCCGGAAUUAUUGGGCGUAAAGCGUCCGCAGGUGGCACUUCAAGUCUGCUGUCAAAGCGCAGAGCUUAACUCUGUACAGGCGGUGGAAACUGAAGAGCUAGAGUAUGGUAGGGGUAGAGGGAAUUCCCGGUGUAGCGGUGAAAUGCGUAGAUAUCGGGAAGAACACCAGUGGCGAAAGCGCUCUACUGGGCCAUAACUGACACUGAGGGACGAAAGCUAGGGGAGCGAAUGGG